GACGAACGCUGGCGGCGCGCCUAAUACAUGCAAGUUGAGCGCUGAAGGUUGGUACUUGUACCAACUGGAUGAGCAGCGAACGGGUGAGUAACGCGUGGGGAAUCUGCCUUUGAGCAGGGGACAACAUUUGGAAACGAAUGCUAAUACCGCAUAAAAACUUUAAACACAAGUUUUAAGUUUGAAAGAUGCAAUUGCAUCACUCAAAGAUGAUCCCGCGUUGUAUUAGCUAGUUGGUGAGGUAAAGGCUCACCAAGGCGAUGAUACAUAGCCGACCUGAGAGGGUGAUCGGCCACAUUGGGACUGAGACACGGCCCAAACUCCUACGGGAGGCAGCAGUAGGGAAUCUUCGGCAAUGGACGAAAGUCUGACCGAGCAACGCCGCGUGAGUGAAGAAGGUUUUCGGAUCGUAAAACUCUGUUGGUAGAGAAGAACGUUGGUGAGAGUGGAAAGCUCACCAAGUGACGGUAACUACCCAGAAAGGGACGGCUAACUACGUG
rnacentral:rRNA from 1 species